GCCGGGGUUUCUUUACCAGGUACUGUCAUUAUCAUCCCUGGCGAAAGAGCUUUACGACCCUAAGGCCUUCGUCACUCACGCGGCAUGGCUAGAUCAGGCUUGCGCCCAUUGUCUAAGAUUCCCC
rnacentral:rRNA from 1 species